rnacentral:piRNA from 1 species
CACAGUAUUCAGUAAGCCAUGAACAACAG